GAGUGAGAAGGGUACCCUCAGCCUUCCUGGUAGAGUGAGCAAUAGCAGUUGUUUUGUGACUGUGAACUUUGUAACUGAAGAACUGCAUUUUUUCCACAGGCUUUAGAGAUUGUCUGAUCCAAAGAUGACUGUGCUCAGAAGUGUCAGAAUGUACUGGAUGCAUCAGUGUAUGCAGUUCAUGCAAAUAGGAGGCUGAUUAUAGUGCUUUUCAAGGUCUGAGAGGUGUUAUUUAAGUCUCAACACUCCUCCCUGCACACCUACCGCACCUCUGCCAUAGCACUGCUGGGCCUCGCUGGAGAGCUACGUCUGCCAGGCCUGUAGCCAGGAGUGUGUGUCCCAUUUCAGCCUCGGUUUCCUGCUCCUGCAGAGGAAUUGAAGAUGGCAGUAGGGGCCACGCGUCAUGCUUCUACAGUGCUGAGGUUUUUAUCGUUCACUUGAUCGUCACUGAAAUAGAAAGUAUCUUUGUCCAGCUUUUUGCCCCAGGAGGAGGAAGAGAGAAAUUUAGAAAGCACCACAUGUGA
rnacentral:lncRNA from 1 species